CCGGUGUUGAUGCGAACAGAUCUGGACGGUGGACAAUCACAGUGAGGUGUCGCGGUGGUGGUCGUGGCUUGUGAUUGUUGAAAUGUCGUCGGCGAUGAGGGUGCUGAGACGGCAGUGUUUGGGGGUUUGUGUUGAGGGCGGCGUAUGUGGAAGAAGGGUUUAUGGUGAGGAAGAUGUAUGGUUGAGGGAAAAGAGAGAUGUUGAGAGAGGCGUGAGGUCUUUCGUGUGACCGUUGGGGAGUGUGGUGGAUGUGUGUUGCGUGUUUAUGAGUUGUUUUUUUU
rnacentral:lncRNA from 1 species